rnacentral:rRNA from 1 species
GAUGAACGCUAGCGGCAGGCUUAACACAUGCAAGUCGAGGGGCAGCGCGAUGUAGCAAUACAUUGGCGGCGACCGGCGCACGGGUGCGUAACACGUAUGCUACCUUCCUCUUACUGGGGCAUAGCCCGGAGAAAUCCGGAUUAAUACCCCAUAAUACCUUGAAGGGCAUUCUUCGGGGUUGAAAGUCACAACGGUAAGAGAUGGGCAUGCGCACGAUUAGCAGUUGGUGAGGUAAUGGCUCACCAAGGCUACGAUCGUUAGGGGCCUGAGAGGGUUAUCCCCACACUGGUACGUGAGACACGGACCAGACUCCUACGGGAGGCAGCAGUGAGGAAUAUUGCGCAAUGGAGGCAACUCUGACGCAGCCAUGCCGCGUG